rnacentral:rRNA from 1 species
UACGUAGGGUGCAAGCGUUGUCCGGAAUUAUUGGGCGUAAAGAGCUCGUAGGCGGUUUGUUGCGUCGGCUGUGAAAUCCCGAGGCUCAACCUCGGGUCUGCAGUCGAUACGAGCAAACUAGAGUGUUGCAGGGGAGACUGGAAUUCCUGGUGUAGCGGUGAAAUGCGCAGAUAUCAGGAGGAACACCGGUGGCGAAGGCGGGUCUCUGGGCCUGUUCUGACGCUGAGGCGCGAAAGCUAGGGGAGCGAACAGG